UAUAUAUAUAUAUAUAUAUUCUUGAAGAGUAACAAAGCAACAAAAAAAGAUUUGAAUAGGCUAUACAUCGGUACAUCUGCAGCUUUGAUGUCCACCACAUUAAGAAACAUGUAAAACACAUAACAUAGGCAGCAUAUGAUCCAUACAUCUCAAUGUACUUUACCAAAUAAGUGCAUGGCUUGUUUAUCUUGCGAUUGCAAAUAAACUGUCAUUUGAAGUACUGUAUUUUUGAAAUUGUUGCAUUCCUAUCAUUUAUAUAUAGAUAUUAAAAAGAAAAUUACAGGCCUGAAGCACUAAUCUGGAGUGCCUAAUAUACCAGACAGUGGUGUUUUAAAUUAGAGACAAUUAUGUACAUUUUGAUACUGUAUUGAGAUUAUUUUUUUACAGUUCUGCAUAUGAUAUAGCAUCAAGUGUAUGUAUUCAUUAGAG